UAGAGUUUGAUCCUGGCUCAGAAUCAACGCUGGCGGCGUGCCUAACACAUGCAAGUCGCACGAGAAAGGGGCUUCGGCUCUGAGUAAAGUGGCGCACGGGUGAGUAACACGUGAAUUAUCUACCUCCGAGUGGGGAAUAACUGAGAGAAAUCUUAGCUAAUACCGCAUAACACUUACGAGUCAAAGCAGCAAUGCGCUUGGAGAGGAGUUCGCGGCCGAUUAGUUAGUUGGCGGGGUAAUGGCCCACCAAGACGAUGAUCGGUAUCCGGCCUGAGAGGGCGCACGGACACACUGGAACUGAAACACGGUCCAGACUCCUACGGGAGGCAGCAGUGGGGAAUUUUGCGCAAUGGGGGAAACCCUGACGCAGCAACGCCGCGUGGAGGAUGAGAUCCCUUGGGAUGUAAACUCCUUUCGAUAGGGAAGAUUAUGACGGUACCUAUAGAAGAAGCCCCGGCUAACUUCGCGCCAGCAGCCGCGGUAAUACGAGGGGGGCAAGCGUUGUUCGGAAUUAUUGGGCGUAAAGGGCGCGUAGGCGGUUUGACAAGUCUGAUGUGAAAUCUCUGGGCUCAACCCAGAGUCUGCAUUAGAAACUGUCGGGCUUGAGUAUGGGAGAGGUGAGUGGAAUCUCCGGUGUAGCGGUGAAAUGCGUAGAUAUCGGAAGGAACACCUGUGGCGAAAGCGGCUCACUGGACCAUAACUGACGCUGAGGCGCGAAAGCUAGGGGAGCAAACAGGAUUAGAUACCCUGGUAGUCCUAGCCCU
rnacentral:rRNA from 1 species